rnacentral:tRNA from 1 species
UCCCUGGUGGUUUAAUGGUUAGGAUUCGGCCAUUUCACGGCUGCAGCCCAGGUUCGAUCCCCGGUCUGGGAA